CCCUUAUGAUGGGAAAAAAGAGAUUUCCCCAAAUCGAAUCCGUGAGGCGUGAAGUCAUUUUUCCCAAAUCCGCCUCAUGAACCCUACGUCCCAAAAUCGAUCCAAUAUGCUAGAAGACUGUAAGGAUUCAAAAAUUCGAUCGACGACAUACAGUAAUUGAGAGUUGUUACUACGCAAUCAUGAUCUAAAUUAAAAUAAAGGUAAAUGUUCAUCUACUGAAAUGUGAUAAUGAACAUAACAUAUGAAAAUAUCUAUGUGAAAGGAUUUUGUUUUGAAAAUUUAAGAAGUAAAUAAAUGAAAGAUUUAGUUAGAGAAGAAGAUGCAUGCGAUUGUUUUGUCACUGAUUGCUGUAGAUGCAUAUUAUUUAUAAGAAUAGUGAAAAUACGAAAUAAACGACAAUAAACUAUACGUUUCAGAGAUUAACUUUUAGGAAAUAUUUGUGGAUGAUUAUUUAUGUUGCUGUGGAUGCAAUAGCAGUUGUGAAUGCAUACUAUAUAUCUUCCAUCAAUUUACUUCUCAGCUGAUUAUUUAUGAACAUUUUGUGGAUGCAAUGGCAGUUGUUAAUGGCAAGGAGGAACAAGGGCAUUUGUUGUAGCUAUAGGAAGUCGGGCCAUUGGAUGUCUGUCUGCUCGACAAAACAAAAGUGCCCAAGGUGUUUUUUGGGCAUUGUCAAGUGUAUUGAAGUGAAGAAAAAAUUACAAACGAAGGUCAGUUACUUCGAUCUUACAGUAGAGACUAUAGUUAUCAUAACUAGGGUGGUCGUCCGGCCGUUGAAGAAUAACCCCUGCAAUUUGAAGGCACAUCGAUCGAAGAUUAGAUUGUAGAUUUGUCACGUAUGUUACAGAGUGUUGCUCACAUAGUUGACCAGAAGGACAUGGAUAUCUUUAUCAAUGUGACUAUCGAAAUUGGAAAAGGAGAUAUAGAAGAUAAUGGGAAAGGAAAGGGAAAGGGAAAAAUGCCAUGAAUUUUAGCCGAAUAUGUGAUGAAUUGAAUGACUUGUAUUGUACUGACAUCAACUGAAAUUUAUCUACUUGUUAUCAACAUAUUUAAAAUUGUACGGAGAAAUCGAGUUGUAUGGAUAACGUCGUUUUCUUUAUUUAUGCACUUAGAAGUUUAUCUUAUGAUUCCAAAUAUUCU
rnacentral:lncRNA from 1 species